ensembl:lncRNA
UCUGUUAGAGAAAAAGACCACACAACAAGUAUGAAGGAGCCAGCUCACCCUCCAAUGACCAAAGUAAGCAAGAUGUCCACUUUUGAUUCUUUUGGAAAUGGAGAAAUAGUGGAUCGAAACAAAUCUAGCAACAACUUUAUAGCUUCGACUGCUAAUCCUGAUGAUAUGGAGAUGACACAGUGUCAGACUAUUGUUCUUGAGGACAAACAAUCAAGUGGAAACAAGCCAUUCAGCAACACAAGGAAGAGUUUGCCUUCUUUAUCCAGAUCUGUUCGAGAAGAUGAGCAUACAGGCAAUAUGAAGGAGGAAGCUCUGCAUCCAGUUCUCAGAGUAAGCAAGAUGCCCUGCUUUGAUUUAGUUGGAGGUGGAUUGAUUAUGAAUCACAACAAAUCAGGCCACCUCCCAAUAGCCCAAACUGCAAAUUCUGAUGAGAUGGAGAUGACACAGUGUCAAACUAUUUUUCUCGAGGCCAAGCAGGUCAGUGGAGACAAACCUUUAAACAACUCAAGGAUCAAUAGGCCACAUACAUCAGUAUCAGGACCUGAAGGCAGUGAUGGGAUGGACAUGACUCAAGCAUUCACUGGGCGUAUAAUGUUAAAUGCUUUUCCAGCCUCCAAGAAGAAAAGAGGCGAAAGCAUUCUGAUGCCUGCCACAACUACAUCAGCUCAACAUAAUGAUAGUGACUGUAUAGACUUGACAUGCCAAACAAGUACUUUUGAUAGGAUUUCUACCCCAAGCCCUGAUGAAAUGGAAUUGACCAGAUGCACCACUAUUAACAUUGACUCAAACCGUACUUGGUUAGGGAGUGCUGUGGAUAUCACAGGUAUAAGACGAACACCAAUCUCUGCUAAUCAAACAAUCACUGUGGUUGAACCUAUGGAGAUGACUGAGGUACCCAUUGCACCAGUCAGUGAGCAAAAGUAUAAAGCUUUUAUGACUCAAAGAAAGUCAGGAGGAAGAAUGCCCUUGAUGUGUGAUCCUGAAAAUACUGAAGCUGAUAACCGUCAGACUGAUUUCUCCAGCCCUGAUGACAUGGACAUGACACAAUGUCAGACUGUUGUGCUUGAGGAUGAAAACUGCAAGAGGGCCGAACCAUUCAUUAAAUCCAGGGAGAGUUUGAACCUUGUAUCUACGUCCUCCAGUCCUGAUGUUGAUAGAAUGGAGAUAACCCAGGCACUCUCCGGCAAUAUCGUGUUAAAGAGCUUUGUAUCCAAUGAGGAAAGUAAGCAUGAGAGAAAUCUGUUGCCUGUAGCGCAAAGUUGUCAAACACAGGAUGAGUCUGACUGCAUGGAAAUGACAAGUCAAGCCAGUGCAUCAAAUCUAGCUAUUCCCU